rnacentral:lncRNA from 1 species
GAAGGGAAAGCUUAUAAAAACAAAACAAAAUCCAAAGGAGUAGAGAGCUUGUGGUUGCCAUCCGCUACCGCCAGUUAAGGUUAGGGAUUCAUGAAUCUUGAGACAAAGAGGGAAAGUGGUCAAAAUUCUCUAAACUUUGAAGUAAUUCCUCACUCAACAUGUCAUUAGGUGUGGCGUGAGAAUUUUGUGGCAUUGAUCACCUUCUUCAACCAUUUGUAAGUCCUCUAAUUUUACCGUCUCUUGUAGUUGGUUUAUGGUUUUGGAUAAAGAACCUUUUCUUCUACUUCAUGGGCUUCCAGAAAGUGAGUUUGGGCGAGUGAGGAGGCGAUGGCUGUAUAUCUGAUCCCAACAGCUACGCUCAACUUGUUUCCUUGUCAUCCAUCCUUCUGAGCUGCUGCACCUAUAAUAGCUCCUUUUUGUUUUUUUAACAUUAAAUUUCAAACAAGCAAUAAGUUGAAUAUACUCAAUGCCAUGAACAAAAACAAAAACAAAAAAAGAGAGAUUUUUACCUUGAUGGGUUUCUGCCCAAUAUAUCCGAAUAAAGAUGAUGCACUACUCUAUUUUUCGGAUUCUUUCGGCUGAAAUUAGUAGAUGUGAAUCAAUUGUUUAAUAACUACAAUGAAGUUUUCCCAAUGAUAAUAUAUUUAAAAGAUUUAUGUAAGAAAUCAUUAUAAAGCUGGAUGUAUUUGGUUUGGUUAUAGGGUGAGAAAGAGAAUGGUAAUGUUGGGUGUUAUUAUAGUAGAGUAGUUGAGUAAGGGUGAUAGGUGUCGAAUAUGGAGUAAACUGAGGAUAGAAAGGGUUUUCAUCUAAUGCUUUAGAGGUGGUUUCUGGAGAACUUAUAACAUCUUGCUGUUGAAAACUCUACGAAGGAUCUGUCAGAGAAUCAUAAUGAAGAGGAAAUCAAAAAGUAGCUAGCAUAUGCCGCUAACUUAAGUAGGUACUAAUUUGAAUGUAACCAAUGAUUCAUAUUAAUUUGCAAUUAAUACUGAAAUCGAGAUUUGUAUGGG